rnacentral:lncRNA from 1 species
GUUAGCGAAAUUCCAAUGUGUGCGGAUCGGCAAAAAAUGCGAAAUAACCCUUUAACCGUACAUUUGACAGAUACGCCCGCACUGACUUUUUUGUAGAUCUUAUUGAGAUACAUGUGUGUGUCAAUUUUUGUGUCAUUUUGACAAAGCGUACAGGCGUGACAGUCAAUAGUGUGAAUUUUCACCUUAGGGGGCGCUAUGGAGCCAUUUUGCAUUUUCUUGUUUGGCCGACUUCGGAAUAUCAAAUUUUUCACCAGGCCCGGUCGUCCUGCCAAAUUUCAUGAGUUUUCGCCAGUGGGAAGUGGGCCAUUUUCCAGUUCAAAGGGGAGGAAAAAGAAGAAAGAAAGAAAGAAAGAAAGAAAGAAAGAAAGAAACAAAGAAAAACCACUUGGGGAAUAAUAGGGCUCUCGCAGCUGCUUAGCAGCUACGCUCGGGCCCUAAAAAACCCCUACAGGAAUAACAGGGCCUACGCCCGGCUGCUCUGCAGCUGGCUCGGGCCCUAACUAGGACCCCGUUGGGGCACUGGCGGGCCCGAGCUGUGUCGCGUCCCCCCCCCAACGCGCUGCCUCCCCGUCCCAUUUGUGUCCUCUGGCCAUCGCCCUCUCUGGUAACGCCCAUCACUGCAAAGACCCUUUUCCUUCAUCGGCGUUUGCUGUUCUUCCUGCCAGUGCGUGUUGCUUUCACUUACACUUGCCACAGCCAGCCUCGUGAGUGCCUAGCCUAUUGGAUAUCACUGUCACGUACACAGGACAGUCAUUACCUUUCUAUUAAUACUUUGUUUUUUAAUUUCACAUUAAUUUCCAUAUUGUAUAAACAACUGGAAAAAACUUGAGCCCCUGCCCCUGUAUAAUCAUGUGCACGUCUCUGUUCUAGCUCUAAGGUGAAUCUUCACUGCUCAUGUUCUCCUCAGAAGCAGUCACCUCACUCCCCUCAGGUUACUGUACACAUGCACCAACUGCCUGCUUCAGGUUUGGAUGGAGCUUCAUGGUUGUCUUUUGGAGAAAUGACUAGUCAAGUUGUGUUUGAAAUUUGAUUUUUUUCAGGGGCAAAAGGAGCCUCUGCAUUCUUGUCAAAUAUGUAAAUAGCAUGUUUUUGCAGGUGCUAAAAACCAGACCCUGAGUGUGUGUGUGUGUGCGUGUGUGUGUGUGUCUGUGUGUGUGUGUGUGUGUGUGUGUGUGUGUGUGUGUGUGUGUGCGUUCAAGUCACAUGACAUAUUUAACCGGAUGUAGCUGCAAGACGGAGCCUCGUUGACUCUCCGUUUCAAUUUAUCUCAAAAGUGAGGACCUCAACCUAUAUACCAGUUUUUAAAUUGUGUUGAUAGGCCAAAUAAAACCAGAGUUAUGAUAAAUUAUUUCCGCGAUACUUGUUUUCUGCUUAUUUUGAUCACGUUCGGCGCUCGAUCGCGCUGUAUGAGACAGGAAAACAUAGCAUGCAGACAUUAGCGACAGGUCUUACAGGCGGAAAAGGCUUGCCAAAGGAAAAAAAAAACACACCACAACAUCUCUCCUAUUGGUGGAAAACUUCACCACAACAACCAAUCCAAAAUUAUAUGGUGACUGAUUGACAAGGGGCCGGAACUUACGUUCUUCCUGCAAUAUGAGAAGGGAGGGAGGGACUCUCAGCAGGGAUGCAGUCUGGGACACGUAGUUGCAAACCUAGCGACUUUGUUGUUAGAUUCAAUGACUUUUCAGACCCCCUAACGACUUUUUUUAGAAAGAAAGUGACUUUUAUCGACUUCUUCUGGAGUUUAGAGACUCUGACAUGAAGCAGGCUUUCCUUACUGAGGAGUUAGCAACGCUGCUAAGGGUGCAGAGCCACACAUGCGCUCCGAGCUCUGCAUGGGAGACUGAAGCUGACAGAGCUGCAGCAGUUAGCAGGUUUCACCCUCAGAGACCACCAGGGGUUCAUGUUGAGGCAUUUUCAGUUUUUUUUUUUUUGCCAUAGACACUGUCAGCACAAUCUGCAGUUACACUAACAAAAAUGCUGCAAAAAACAAAGAAUUAUGGAAAAAUUACACAUGGACUAACAUAGAGGAGGAUCUACACAAGUUUUUUACAUCAUGUUUUACAUCAUGCAUCAUGUACAUCAUGUUUUUUUGUAGUGGCAUAAAUAAAAAGUGACAUUUGUGAGACUAUACAGUGUUUUGUAAAUAAUUUUACAAAGAACACCUGGGCCAUUGCCUGCAUUUUGAUGUAAAUAGAUGUAAAUUACUAUGUUCUUUGUUAAAAAUUUGCAUAUGUUUUGAAGUUUACAAUUUUUAUUUGAAGUUUAAGUUUUAAAAACAGUUCAUCACACAUAUUUGUGGUUUUCACAGUAAAAACGUUACUUUUUUCCACUCGGAUUUUAUGUUUUGUGUGUGAAUUUGGGUCCAAUGUGUAAAUAUAGUAUGUCAAAAUGAUAAAAUAACUGUAAAUUGACACAGGUGAGGUUGUGCUGAAAAAAAUGAUACCAGGCAAGGCAAGGUAAAAAUUUUGUAAGAGGAAAUAUAAAGGUAAAAUCUAAAGUAGUCAAAAACGGCCAAUAGUGACUCACGGACUCCACAGACAAGUCCCUUUGGCGCCACUCAGUGGGCAAAACUACUUUGUCUACUGUAAUGUAUAUUUGGGUCAUCUUUGGCGCCCCCUAAAACGUAAACCGUGGGGUGCAGCGUCAUGAUUUUUACAACUUUGAAUGGCCAUGGAGUGUAGAUUGGCCUGAGCAAAUUUGGUGUCAGUGGGACGAAAGCCUUAGGAGGAGUUAGUGAAAUUCCAAUGUGUGCGAAUCGGCAAAAAAUGCAAAAUAGCCCUUUUACCGUACAUUAUACAGAUACGCGCUCUUUGACUUUUUCGUAGAUCUAAUUGAGAUACACGUGAUUGUCAAAUUUUGUGUCAAUAUGACAAAGCGUAUAGGCGUGAAUCUCAACAAUAUGUAUUUUCACCUUAAGGGACAAGAAAAAAUGGACUUUUUUCUCCUGCCAUGGGGGGGCGCUCUUUUGGGGAGUAAAAAUUCCUUCACAAAUGUGUUGAUGGCUGGACAUUGCAUCAUCCUAGAAAACUUGGAGGCCAGUGAGGACAAAAAUAAAAAGUUAUAAGACUUUUAAAUAUGUGGAUUUUAGGGUUAUCUUUGGCGCCCCCUAGAACCUAAACCGUGGGGUGCAGCGUCAUGAUUUUGAUAACUUUUAAUGGCCAUGGGGUGUAGAUUGGCCUGAGCAAAUGUGGUGCCGGUGGAACGAAAGCCUUAGGAGGAGUUAGCCACAUUCCAAUGUGUGCGGAUCGGCAAAAAAUGCGGAAUAACCCUUUAACCGUACAUUUGACAGAUACGCGCGCAUUGACUUUUUCGUAGAUCUUAUUGAGUUACAUGUGUGUGUCAAGUUUUGUGUCAUUUUGACAAAGCGUAUAGGCGUGACACUCAACAAUGUGUAUUUUCACCUUAGGGGACAAGAAAAAAUGGACUUUUUUCUUCUGCCAUGGGGGGGCGCUCUUUUGGGGAGUAAAAAUUCCUUCACAAAUGUGUUGAUGGCUGGACAUUGCAUCAUCCUAGAAAACUUGGAGGCCAGUGAGGACAAAAAUAAAAAGUUAUAAGACUUUGAAAUAUGUGGAUUUUAGUGUUAUCUUUGGCGCCCCCUAGAACCUAAACCUUGGGGUGCAGCGUCAUGAUUUUGAUAACUUUUAAUGGCCACGGGGUGUAGAUUGGCCUGAGCAAAUGUGGUGCCGGUGGAACGAAAGCCUUCGGAGGAGUUAGCGAAAUUCCAAUGUGUGCGGAUCGGCAAAAAAUGCGAAAUAACCCUUUAACCGUAAUUUUGACAGAUACGGCCGCACUGACUUUUUUGUAGACCGUAUUGAGAUACAUAUGUGUGUCAAUUUUUGUGUCAAUAUGACAAAGCAUACAGGCGUGACAGUCAAUAGUGUGAAUUUCCACCUUAGGGGGCGCUAUGGAGCCAUUUUGCAUUUUAUUGUUUGGGCGACUUCAGAAUAUCGAAUUUUUCACCAGGCCCGGUCGUCCUGCCAAAUUUCAUGAGUUUUCGCCAGUGGGAAGUGGGCCAUUUUCCAGUUCAAAGGGGAGGAAAAAGAAGAAACUAGGGCCCCGUUGGGGCACUGGCGGGCCCGAGCCGCGUUGCGCCGCCCCCAGUGCGACCGCCUCCCCCUCCCGAUCGCGUCACACUCAAGGUCCAAAGAUGGUGUGCGCACUUGUCUGUGGUCAUUUCCCAUUAUAAUUAAUGGGAGGCGCAGUUUCUACCAAAACACUCGCUGCAGACAAACUACAUGUCCUAUUUGAAAAAAGUCUGGACCAUGAGUGAGGGCACAAACACAGCUAGGAUAUAUCCAAACGGCAAGUUGCUCCUCGUUACGGUGUUGCCGGGAGAGCGAUGCGAUUGAGCCAUUGUGUGAUGGGCAGGAAAAACUUGACUGUUUCUCCUGCCAUGGGGGAUGGGGGAUGGGAGGGGGGGAAAGGGAUGUGGAUUCUUUUAAGAAUGUGGAUAUUUGGGUCAUCUUUGGCGCCCCCUAGAACGUAAACCGUGGGGUGCAGCGUCAUGAUUUUUAAAUCUUUGAAUGGCCAUGGGGUGUAGAUUGGCCUGAGCAAAUUUGGUGUCAGUGGGACGAAAGCCUUAGGAGGAGUUAGCCACAUUCCAAUGUGUGCUAAUCAGCAAAAAAUGCAAAAUAGCCCUUUAACCGUACAUUUUACAGAUACGCGCGCACUGACUUUUUCGUAGAUCUUAUUGAGAUACAUGUGUGUGUCAAAUUUUGUGUCAAUAUGACAAAGCAUACAGGUAUGACAGUCAACAAUGUGUAUUUUCACCUUAUGGGACAAGAAAAAAUUGACUUUUUUCUCCUGCCAUGGGGGGGCGCUCUUUUAGGGAGUAAAAAUUCCUUCACAAAUGUGUUGAUGGCUGGACAUUGCAUCAUCCUAGAAAACUUGGAGGCCAGAGAAGACACAAAUAAAAAGUUAUAAGACUUUUAAAUAUGUGGAUUUUAGGGUUAUCUUUGGCGCCCCCUAGAACCUAAACCGUGGGGUGCAGCGUCAUGAUUUGAAUAACUUUUAAUGGCCAUGGGGUGUAGAUUGGCCUGAGCAAAUGUGGUGCCGGUGGAACGAAAGCCUUCGGAGGAGUUAGCGAAAUUCCAAUGUGUGCGGAUCGGCAAAAAAUGCACAAUAACCCUUUAACCGUACAUUUGACAGAUACGCCCGCACUGACUUUUUUGUAGAUCUUAUUGAGAUACAUGUGUGUGUCAAUUUUUGUGUAAUUUUGACAAAGCGUACAGGCGUGACAGUCAAUAGUGUGAAUUUUCACCUUAUGGAACAAGAAAAAAUGGACUUUUUUCUCCUGCCAUGGGGGGGCGCUCUUUUGGGGAGUAAAAAUUCCUUCACAAAUGUGUUGAUGGCUGGACAUUGCAUCAUCCUAGAAAACUUGGAGGCCAGUGAGGGCAAAAAUAAAAAGUUAUAAGACUUUGAAAUAUGUGGAUUUUAGGGUUAUCUUUGGCGCCCCCUAGAACAUAAACCGUGGGGUGCAGCGUCAUGAUUUGAAUAACUUUUAAUGGCCAUGGGGUGUAGAUUGGCCUGAGCAAAUGUGGUGCCGGUGGAACGAAAGCCUUCGGAGGAGUUAGCGAAAUUCCAAUGUGUGCGGAUCGGCAAAAAAUGCACAAUAACCCUUUAACCGUACAUUUGACAGAUACGCCCGCACUGACUUUUUUGUAGAUCUUAUUGAGAUACAUGUGUGUGUCAAUU